rnacentral:rRNA from 1 species
GAUGAACGCUGGCGGUGUGGAUAAGGCAUGCAAGUCGAGCGGGGAAGGGUAGCUUGCUACCUAACCUAGCGGCGGACGGGUGAGUAAUGCUUAGGAAUCUGCCAUUUAGUGGGGGACAACAUUCCGAAAGGAAUGCUAAUACCGCAUACGUCCUACGGGAGAAAGCAGGGGAUCUUCGGACCUUGCGCUAAAUGAUGAGCCUAAGUCGGAUUAGGUAGUUGGUGGGUAAAGGCCUACCAAGGCGACGAUCUGGGGCGGGUCGGAGAGGAUGAUCCGCCACACUGGGACUGAGACACGGCCCAGACUCCUAGGGGAGGCAGCAGUGGGGAAUAUUGGACAAUGGGCGGAAGCCUGAUCCAGCCAUGCCGCGUGUGUGAAGAAGGCCUUAUGGUUGUAAAGCACUUUAAGCGAGGAGGAGGCUACUUAGAUUAAUACUCUAGGAUAGUGGACGUUACUCGCAGAAUAAGCACCGGCUAACUCUGUGCCAGCAGCCGCCGUAA